GGUAUUGUAGCUCAGUGGUAGAGCACUUGCCUCGCAUGUGUGAGGUGCUGGGUUCGAUCCUCAGUACCA
rnacentral:tRNA from 1 species